UGGUAAUACCGGAUGCUCCGCUCCAUCGCAUGGUGGGGUGGGAAAUGCUUUUGCGGCAUGGGAUGGGGUCGCGUCCUAUCAGCUUGUUGGCGGGGUGAUGGCCCACCAAGGCGUUGACGGGUAGCCGGCCUGAGAGGGUGACCGGCCACAUUGGGACUGAGAUACGGCCCAGACUCCUACGGGAGGCAGCAGUGGGGAAUAUUGCACAAUGGGCGCAAGCCUGAUGCAGCGACGCCGCGUGCGGGAUGGAGGCCUUCGGGUUGUAAACCGCUUUUGUUCAAGGGCAAGGCACGGUUUCGGCCGUGUUGAGUGGAUUGUUCGAAUAAGCACCGGCUAACUACGUGCCAGCAGCCGCGGUAAUACGUAGGGUGCGAGCGUUAUCCGGAUUUAUUGGGCGUAAAGGGCUCGUAGGCGGUUCGUCGCGUCCGGUGUGAAAGUCCAUCGCCUAACGGUGGAUCUGCGCCGGGUACGGGCGGGCUGGAGUGCGGUAGGGGAGACUGGAAUUCCCGGUGUAACGGUGGAAUGUGUA
rnacentral:rRNA from 1 species